AGAUGCAAAUUCAUUCUGAAACAGUAUAAGGAAGUGACUUUGAGUAAGUGAAUCAUUAACUCAUCUAAUUAGAAAUACUUUGUGUCUCUUAUAUUUCCAGCGUCAACGUAAUAGAAUUGAUGUAGACACUCUGCGAGCACUAAUUGAAAGCAAAGGUCUGAGUAUAUUGAAGGAUUAUGAAGCUUCAGGAAUGCUUUCAGAGACAUCAAGAAAAGUCCUUGUGAAGAUAGGUGUCAGUGCGUUGGUGGAACAAAGUGGAUUUUACCCUUGUAAUGAUGAGAAGCGGAUGUUGGCAGAAAGUGUAGUAACACUGUUUCCUUCUCUGAAGAUCAAGAUGGGAGAAGAGAAUGAAGGAUUUGAACAUUUCUAUGACCCAGUCUCCCACAGUGGAUUUAUUGAGAUGAGACUUAGAAAUCUACGGAGGAAACUUUGUGAUGAUCAGCGUCGUUACCAACGCAAACGUAGUCGAAUCAGUGAUUUGUAAAUAUAAGUAAGACAUUAGCCUACAAGAGUCAGGUUCAAACAAUGUUUCAUUGGAAAUUGGGAAGUCCAUUAACAGAAAAAAUAUCCG